AAAAACAAAAAGAAGUUACCAGUCGGCGACGGACACCGGACUCGGCUUUGCGAAAGAGAAGGAGGCGUCGAACGCCGAUGUAAUCGGGAUCGGAGUCAGCUGUCGCCGGUUGAAGCAUGCAACUGAACAGUUCUGGAUCUAUUACAUUCUCUUUGUUUUCUUUAUUUUUAUUGUCUUUAUGAUUAUUAUUAUUAUCGCUAAUGUUGUCGUUAUUAGCUUCUAUCGGUGAUGUUGAUGUUGAGCUACUUAGCUGCUCCGCCAUUCCACCGGACACGCUGUGUUACAUCAUCAGCGGCCGUUCGUACGGAGAAAGAUCUGGCAAGCGUGUUGAUCAGAAUCAGGGGUUCUGGUU
rnacentral:lncRNA from 1 species